CGCCCCUCCUCCCCGGCACAGCAGCAUCGCCCUCGGCUCUCCGGGGCCAGGGCAGAACCAGCGCCUGGAGGGGCCAGGGCAGAACCAGCGCCUGGAGGGGCCAGGGGAUGGCGAGGGAACGCCCUCCGGCAACAGCAUCGCCCAUUGCCUUUGUAUCGGCAAACAGCCUCCAUUUUGAGGGGCUGCAGGCCCUGAGGCCGGGCUGGAGGAGGCCACACUUCAGCUUCCAGUGACGAGGAACAAAAAUGGGGAGAUUGGUUAUUAGCGCUGACAUGGAGUAAGAUAUCCAGUCUACACCAAAUCCUGCAGCACGAAUUAAGAGAGACUGCCUUGAGGUAGAGACUGUCUUUAAAAUGCAUCUAAGAACCAAACUUCAGAGGCUUUGUUCCAGAGCACAAGCUGCAACCACCUGAGAGCUGGGUAGGGUUAUACAUCUCUGCACAGAACCACGAGCCAGUCUGCAGCCACACGAGGUUAGUGGAAAUUAAAGCUCCAGCGAGCCGACCUGCUCCUUGUGUGCGAAUUCACAGGACAACCCCGUGUGGCUGGCUCAACAUGACAAAUACAAGGAUGUUAAAAAGCCAAAUAACUGUUAUCUGAAGCUCAGUGCAUGUGCUGAGUUCAGCGCAAACAUCCAUUUUGCUCUGCCUCCCCACACAAAAGCCAGGAAAGUGGAUUCCAAAGUUCAAGCACUGUAACUACAGAGGAAAUGCUGAAACUAAACAGUUUCACUCUAGCAACAUUUCCACAGAAUUUAAAGGACUGGGUUCUUGGACUCCCAAGUCACACCAGUAACAUGCCAACUAUUUAGGGUGCAUCUCCUAUAUACUUAUUUUCAUGACUAAAAAUAUCACAGCUAGCAAUAAGAGAGCUCAUACACAGAGCUAUUCGCUGCAGUAUAAGCCUAUUAAAAAUGAGAUGGCUAAUAUGUUCCUUAACCAAUAAAAGUAGUAGCAACCAUUAUUUAA